GUUUGAUCAUGGCUCAGAGCGAACGCUGGCGGCAGGCUUAACACAUGCAAGUCGAACGCGUGUAGCAAUACACGAGUGGCGCACGGGUGAGUAACGCGUGGGCAUCUGCCUCAUGGUUCGGAAUAACCCCGGGAAACUGGGGCUAAUACCGGAUGGUACCUUCGGGUUAAAGAUUUAUCGCCAUGAGAUGAGCCCGCGUCCGAUUAGCUAGUUGGUGAGGUAACGGCUCACCAAGGCGACGAUCGGUAGCUGGUCUGAGAGGACGAUCAGCCACACUGGGACUGAGACACGGCCCAGACUCCUACGGGAGGCAGCAGUGGGGAAUCUUGCGCAAUGCGCGAAAGCGUGACGCAGCAACGCCGCGUGCGGGAAGACGGCCUUCGGGUUGUAAACCUCUUUCAGCAGGGACGAAGCGCAAGUGACGGUACCUGCAGAAGAAGCACCGGCUAACUACGUGCCAGCAGCCGCGGUAA
rnacentral:rRNA from 1 species